GAUGAACGCUAGCUACAGGCUUAACACAUGCAAGUCGAGGGGCAGCAUGGUCUUAGCUUGCUAAGGCCGAUGGCGACCGGCGCACGGGUGAGUAACACGUAUCCAACCUGCCGUCUACUCUUGGACAGCCUUCUGAAAGGAAGAUUAAUACAAGAUGGCAUCAUGAGUCCGCAUGUUCACAUGAUUAAAGGUAUUCCGGUAGACGAUGGGGAUGCGUUCCAUUAGAUAGUAGGCGGGGUAACGGCCCACCUAGUCUUCGAUGGAUAGGGGUUCUGAGAGGAAGGCCCCCCACAUUGGAACUGAGACACGGUCCAAACUCCUACUGGAGGCAGCAGUGAGGAAUAUUGGUCAAUGGGCGAGAGCCUGAACCAGCCAAGUAGCGUGAAGGAUGACUGCCCUAUGGGUUGUAAACUUCUUUUAUAAAGGAAUAAAGUCGGGUAUGGAUACCCGUUUGCAUGUACUUUAUGAAUAAGGAUCGGCUAACUCCGUG
rnacentral:rRNA from 1 species